rnacentral:rRNA from 1 species
UACGGAGGGUGCAAGCGUUGUCCGGAUUUAUUGGGUUUAAAGGGUACGUAGGCGGAAGGCUAAGUCCGAGGUGAAAGCCCCCAGCUCAACUGGGGAGGUGCCUUGGAUACUGGUCAUCUUGAGUGCCGUAGAGGUAGGCGGAAUUCAUGGUGUAGCGGUGAAAUGCAUAGAUACCAUGAGGAACACCGAUAGGGAAGCCAGCUUACUAGACGGUUACUGACGCUGAGGUACGAAAGCGUGGGGAGCGAACAGG